rnacentral:rRNA from 1 species
GAUGAACGCUGGCGGCGUGCCUAAUACAUGCAAGUCGAGCGAACGGACGAGAAGCUUUCUUCUCUGAUGUUAGCGGCGGACGGGUGAGUAACACGUGGAUAACCUACCUAUAAGACUGGGAUAACUUCGGUAAACCGGAGCUAAUACCGGAUGAUAUUUUGAACCGCAUGGUUCAAAAGUGAAAGACGGUCUUGCUGUCACUUAUAGAUGGAGCCGCGCUGCAUUAGCUAGUUGGUAAGGUAACGGCUUACCAAGGCAACGAUGCAUAGCCGACCUGAGAGGGUGAUCGGCCACACUGGAACUGAGACACGGUCCAGACUCCUACGGGAGGCAGCAGUAGGGAAUCUUCCGCAAUGGGCGAAAGCCUGACGGAGCAACGCCGCGUGAGUGAUGAAGGUCUUCGGAUCGUAAAACUCUGUUAUUAGGGAAGAACAUAUGUGUAAGUAACUGUGCACAUCUUGACGGUACCUAAUCAGAAAGCCACGGCUAACUACGUG